CCCCUCUCAGGGUCGCACCUGGAGAGUUUCCAGUACUCUACCGGUUUCGACUAUGGGAGGGAGAGUCAAGCAGAGGCAUAUCCAUUAAAUUUCUAGCUUGGGCAGUGGCUAGCGAGUGGAAGACAAUCUGCUACAAGU
rnacentral:snoRNA from 1 species